GUCGCAUGCUCCCGGCCGCCAUGGCGGCCGCGGGAAUUCGAUUAGAGUUUGAUCCUGGCUCAGAUUGAACGCUGGCGGCAGGCCUAACACAUGCAAGUCGAGCGGUAGAGAGAAGCUUGCUUCUCUUGAGAGCGGCGGACGGGUGAGUAAUGCCUAGGAAUCUGCCUGGUAGUGGGGGAUAACGUUCGGAAACGGACGCUAAUACCGCAUACGUCCUACGGGAGAAAGCAGGGGACCUUCGGGCCUUGCGCUAUCAGAUGAGCCUAGGUCGGAUUAGCUAGUUGGUGGGGUAAUGGCUCACCAAGGCGACGAUCCGUAACUGGUCUGAGAGGAUGAUCAGUCACACUGGAACUGAGACACGGUCCAGACUCCUACGGGAGGCAGCAGUGGGGAAUAUUGGACAAUGGGCGAAAGCCUGAUCCAGCCAUGCCGCGUGUGUGAAGAAGGUCUUCGGAUUGUAAAGCACUUUAAGUUGGGAGGAAGGGCAGUAAAUUAAUACUUUGCUGUUUUGACGUUACCGACAGAAUAAGCACCGGCUAACUCUGUGCCAGCAGCCGCGGUAAUACAAUCACUAGUGAAUUCGCGGCCGCCUGCAGGUCGACCAUAUGGGAGAGCUCCCCACGCGUUGGAUG
rnacentral:rRNA from 1 species